CUAAUAGCUAAAAACACUGAAGCUAAUAGCUAAAACACUGAAGCUAAUAGCUAAAAACACUGAAGCUGAUAGCAAAAAAUGCUGAAGCUGAGAGCUAAAAAUACUGAAGCUAAUAGCAAAAAACGCUGAAGCUGAAGAGGAUGAUUUCCAGCUAAAAAGCCUAAAUUAGCCAAAACAGCUAGCAUGUAGCUGAAAUAUUAGCUAAAGGCCAAUUCAGCCUACAAAACUAAAAAAAAAGAACUCAGGUUAACCAAAACAGCCUUAGAAAUCGUAAUAAAUGCAAAUAUAGUCCAAAAAGAUUUUUAAAACUGUAACUUUUUAAAAAUAAUUAUGAAUAAUAAAAAGUCAUCAAUAUUAUUCCAGAAUAAAUUAAUUUAAACUUUAAAUAACUGUCAAUAUUUUAUUCUCCAUAAAAAUAUAUUUUGUCAAAGUUAUACAAGUUAGAAAUAAACGCAAGAUAACAUCGGGUCGUUAAUAACAAUCAAAUAAAAUGAUCUGGAGGGCCGGAUCCGGCCCCCGGGCCGUGACUUUGUGCUUUAGAGCCACAGAUGAAUUUUCUUCUUCGUUCUUUGUGUCCUGCUGCUGUGGUUGCAGCGCGGUGACGUGGUUCUGCCGUCCGGACCUGGAGCAGAUCAGAGGACAGACCGGUACACGGAGGACGUCAGCUACGCCGCCGUUCACUUCAAACAAAACAAACCCAGCAGAGAGCUGCAGCCGCAGGCAGACGAUGUGGUCUACUCUGCGGUGGUCACUCGAGGUUGAAGACCUUCAGGAUCCAGACAGCAGCACAGGAAGACGCCGCUGUGUCAAAAUCUAAAAAGUUCCAUCAAAAAUAACCUUCCUUUUUUAUUAGCUCUUAUCUCGUCUCCACUGUCCCUCUCAAAACUGUGUAAAUAUCUAUAAAUUAUUGUAUUUUUCAAAGGAUUUUACAUGUUUUUCCUUAUUUAAAACAUUUUUGUGCAUUUGUUCUUGAAUGUGAUGUUUUUGUUUAACGUUCUACAAAAAAAAUCAAUAAAAAGGUUUAUUCUGUUUUCUGUCACAGCUGGAAGAAUUUAUUCAAGUCCAUUUAUCAUGAAACUGUAUAUUUUCAGCUACAGUUGAUGAUAUUUAUUGUGAUUUGUUUCUUGGGCUCCGUUUGUUCUGAGGACGCUCAUCAUUUCUGCAGAGAAAGGAAGUCUCUGCAUCAGCAGUAAAAGGUUUCUGUCAUCAAAUGUCCAACAAUCUGAACAGUUUUUGGUUUG
rnacentral:lncRNA from 1 species